UACGUAGGGUGCAAGCGUUGUCCGGAUUUAUUGGGCGUAAAGAGCGUGUAGGCGGCCAGACAGGUCCGUUGUGAAAACUCGAGGCUCAACCUCGAGACGCCGAUGGAAACCAUUUGGCUAGAGUCCGGAAGAGGAGAGUGGAAUUCCUGGUGUAGCGGUGAAAUGCGCAGAUAUCAGGAAGAACACCCGUGGCUAAGGCGGCUCUCUAGUACGGUACUGACGCUGAGACGCGAAAGCGUGGGGAGCAAACAGG
rnacentral:rRNA from 1 species